AAUAAGAUGCCUGAUUAAAAGGACUAUUUUGAUAGAAUAGAUAAUGUGAUUCACUCUUAUUA
rnacentral:tRNA from 1 species